UAAACUAAAAUAAGUGACCAGCACAUAUCUGAAGUUGGUCCCCCGGGUGCUGUAAAUGACUGCCCACUGCUCCCUUGAGGGAUGCGUUAAAAUGCAGAGAAUGAAUUU